UUGGGAUUAAGGCAUUGUGUUCAAUCCUUGUUCUAGUUCGCCGAAAAUAAUAUAGAUUGAGUGCUCAACUAUAUUAUUGUAAUUCAUUUUAUCCUGGGAGACCGACACUACAACGCUCCUAGCACCAUGGGAGGUAGCGAAUUGGUUUUAAGGAAACUGUGUUAUAUACGACUUGGGUUUUUCCAUUACUGUUUCCAUUUCCAUUACCGGACUGUUAUUUUCAGAUUUCUCAUUUAUAUUCGGAAUAUAUUGUUAUUUUUGAAUUAUUUCUUGCCAAUUUAUGUUCUGCUAUUAUUAUUGAUGUACAUGUUUAUUGUACCGAAUUCUCCUACUAUAUUUCUGUCUCAUGUAUUAUUAGAAGAUGAUCCGGGCAAACCCUUUCCUUUCAUUUUUCCCUAACAUUUCGUUCGGCAGAGAAGUAAACAGAAUAAUUUUUUUUUGUUUUCUUUACCCCUCAUUUCUUGUUGGAGCUCAUAUUCACCUUGCUGUUGCCGUGGAUGGGUUUGGCUAGUUAUUUGAUGUUGUCUUUAUCAUAUAUUUUGAAGGUUGUGAAGCGGCGUAGAAUUCUCACCUAUCAGAAUGGAUGCAAGCCAUGCCGCUGUUUACAGGUUGCAAAGCAGUGUAGAGUUCGAAGGUUUCAGGGAAUUUGAGGUAUAUUAUGGUGUUCAAACUCGUGGAGAAAGGCUGCAUUUUAUGUGCACUCAGAAAAGCACUUUCAAAAAAGAAAGGUCCGUGACUACAAUAAUUAAAGCAUUAGUAUGAGACAAGUUCUCUUAACAUAUUUUCCCGUAACUUGCGGUAUUGUGUUCCUUUU